UGCACAUGAGGAUGCGUCAGAGGCAAUUACUGCUGAUAACAUACCAUCAUUUCCUGGAUCUUCCCGUAUUGAUAGUAUGGGAACGUUGCAAGCCACAUUAGUGGUAAGCGACGGAGAAUUGAUUCCCUUAAAGAUACAUAAGGUUCCAGGAAAUGAUUUUUUUUAUAAAAAUCUUAAUGACAUUGCAUUGCAGAUAUUUGGGCCCACCACACGUAAAAUGUGGAACAUCAUAUGUGACCUGACCCUAAUCCACUAUUUUGAUUUCAUAUCAUUGCUAGAAUAGUUAUCCUUUUUUUUCUUCUCUUGAACUAUAUCAAAGGUAGCUUCAGUUUAUUUCUAAAUCUAACAGGUUUGUUUUUGCUUUAAAGGUGGAAUGACCAAGAAAAAAGGUUAAAAGAUGAACUAACAAACCGCAUGGUUGGGUUGUUCGGAAAUGAAACAUUUGACAAAACCAAGGUCUUUGAAAAAGUUGGCACAUAUCUAAAGUAUGUGAGAGACCAAUACAAGACACAUUUAGAGAAGAACGUAAAGUACGAGCAUCCCCCCAUGAUUCCAGAGAGGGAGUGGAAGGACUUGAUUUUGGAUGCGAAGGAGAGAAUUGAAAGGAAAAAAGGAAAUACACCACCAGACACCAGAAGAAGACUGAGUGACACGUCAAAGGCAAGACAAGAAAAGCACGAACAACACAAACUCGGCUCUGGUGGUUAUAUGAAACUUGUCGCACGAAUUG